rnacentral:rRNA from 1 species
GACGAACGCUGGCGGCGUGCUUAACACAUGCAAGUCGAACGGAAAGGCCCUGCUUUUGUGGGGUGCUCGAGUGGCGAACGGGUGAGUAACACGUGAGUAACCUGCCCUUGACUUUGGGAUAACUUCAGGAAACUGGGGCUAAUACCGGAUAGGAGCUCCUGCUGCAUGGUGGGGGUUGGAAAGUUUCGGCGGUUGGGGAUGGACUCGCGGCUUAUCAGCUUGUUGGUGGGGUAGUGGCUUACCAAGGCCUUGACGGGUAGCCGGCCUGAGAGGGUGACCGGCCACAUUGGGACUGAGAUACGGCCCAGACUCCUACGGGAGGCAGCAGUGGGGAAUAUUGCACAAUGGGCGGAAGCCUGAUGCAGCAACGCCGCGUGCGGGAUGACGGCCUUCGGGUUGUAAACCGCUUUCGCCUGUGACGAGGCGUGAGUGACGGUAAUGGGUAAAGAAGCACCGGCUAACUACGUG